GAUGAACGCUGGCGGCGUGCCUAAUACAUGCAAGUCGAGCGAACGGACGAGAAGCUUGCUUCUCUGAUGUUAGCGGCGGACGGGUGAGUAACACGUGGAUACCCUACCUAUAAGACUGGGAUAACUUCGGGAAACCGUAGCUAAUACCGGAUAAUAUUUUGAACCGCAUGGUUCAAAAGUGAAAGACGGUCUUGCUGUCACUUAUAGAUGGAUCCGCGCUGCAUUAGCUAGUUGGUAAGGUAACGGCUUACCAAGGCAACGAUGCAUAGCCGACCUGAGAGGGUGAUCGGCCACACUGGAACUGAGACACGGUCCAGACUCCUACGGGAGGCAGCAGUAGGGAAUCUUCCGCAAUGGGCGAAAGCCUGACGGAGCAACGCCGCGUGAGUGAUGAAGGUCCUCGGAUCGUAAAACUCUGUUAGUAGGGAAGAACAUAUGUGUAAGUAACUGUGCACAUCUUGACGGUACCUAAUCAGAAAGCCACGGCUAACUACGUG
rnacentral:rRNA from 1 species